rnacentral:rRNA from 1 species
UACGUAGGGGGCUAGCGCUAUCCGGAAUUACUGGGCGUAAAGGGUGCGUAGGUGGUUUCUUAAGUCAGAGGUGAAAGGCUACGGCUCAACCGUAGUAAGCCUUUGAAACUGGGGAACUUGAGUGCAGGAGAGGAGAGUGGAAUUCCUAGUGUAGCGGUGAAAUGCGUAGAUAUUAGGAGGAACACCAGUUGCGAAGGCGGCUCUCUGGACUGUAACUGACACUGAGGCACGAAAGCGUGGGGAGCAAACAGG